AGUGAACGCUGGCGGUAGGCCUAACACAUGCAAGUCGAACGGCAGCACAGUAAGAGCUUGCUCUUACGGGUGGCGAGUGGCGGACGGGUGAGGAAUACAUCGGACUCUACUUUUUCGUGGGGGAUAACGUAGGGAAACUUACGCUAAUACCGCAUACGACCUACGGGUGAAAGCAGGGGAUCUUCGGACCUUGCUCGAUUGAAUGAGCCGAGGUCGGAUUAGCUAGUUGGCGGGGUAAAGGCCCACCAAGGCUACGAUCCGUAGCUGGUCUGAGAGGAUGAUGAGCAAAACUGGAACUGGAAAAAGGUCCAGACUCCUACGGGAGGCAGCAGUGGGGAAUAUUGGACAAUGGGCGCAAGCCUGAUCCAGACAGACCGCGUGGGUGAAGAAGGCCUUCGGGUUGUAAAGCCCUUUUGUUGGGAAAGAAAAGCAGCAGGUUAAUACCCCGCUGUUCUGACGGUACCCAAAGAAUAAGCACCGGCUAACUUCGUG
rnacentral:rRNA from 1 species